UUCAGUGGAUAGCUUUAUUUCUGCAAAGUGCAUAGAAUGAAGUUGUAGCCUGCAGUCACUGAAAGACCUAAAUGAAUGUGAGUAUGGUGUAAUGGAAGGCGCUGACAAGACUUCUUCCAAUCAUUUCAUCUCCAUAUCAUAUAAAAAGUAACAUUUCCUUUCCUUACUGAUUUUUUUCAACCAAGCUUUUAUGUCCACUGUGGCUCAUAAUG
rnacentral:lncRNA from 1 species